rnacentral:tRNA from 1 species
GCGGGGGUUCCCGAGCCAGGUCUAAGGGGCAGGACUUAGGAUCCUGUGCAAGGUGGAAGCCUGCAGAGUGUAGAGAUUAACAGUUUUGUUAAUCCAGUAAAGCUUCAUGGGUUCAAAUCCCAUCCCCCGCACCA